CAGUUCUAUUAAAAAAAAAUUAGGUCCUGGAAAAAUCGAAGAAAUUUGAGUGUAGUUUAUGAAGUUAAAUCUUUGACAUUUUAGCGUAUAGAAUAGACGUGUAGUUGUAAACAUCAUUUGCAAGUGUGUAAAUAAUGAGUUGUGAACAUGAAAGAAUAAUCUGUAGUUGUAAGCACAUUCUCGAACAUGUAAAUGAUGAGUUGUUUAGUUUAUUAGGAUCCCCAUUAGCUACUGCACAUGCAGCAGCUACUCUUCCUGGGGUCCACAUACAUUGUGCAAAUACAAGACAAAGUACAGAGCAGUAAAUAGAUAAGAACACCAUAAGAUAUAACAUUCAAUUCCAAAUAAAAAAUGUAAUGUCAUACACUGAGUGUACAAAACAUUAGGAAUACCUUCGUACCACAGUGUGAGUCAUAAUAGCCAUAAAACCUAGCGGUAAAACCUGAAAGUGGUUCCAAUUGUUUUUUCACCAUUAAUUUUUGCGUCAGGGAUUUUUGAACUACUUCAUAUACGGUCUGUGUUUCGUGUAGGCUUACCCUGGCGUCACGUUUUGAUAACUGUGCAAAUCUCUGUUAAUGUGGCUAUCAUACAGAACUACACAUCCUGUCGCAAGCGUUGACGUCAUCCCUCUAGGCACAUUUCUCCAUGCAGUAACCUAGCAAGUAGAGAUUAUAACCUUUUCAGUUUGAUAUUGUGUAUUCUUGUUUAGCAUUUCUCAAAUUAACUAGCUAGCUACCUUAGCAUUUUAAAUGACUAGAAUUACCCUCUGGCCUUUGGCUUUGUAGCGAACUAGCUAACCUUAGGAAUCUCCGUCGAUCUGAAGCCAGUUGCCCGGAUGUUUCUGUGUUAUGUACCGGACUGUAACCACUACUCCGAUAAGCAGACGUUCAUUUUAUCUUUUUCCGACCUCCGUAAUGAAGAGGUGUCGCUGGAGCCGAGUGAUAAGACAUGAGGCCUGACAUGCAGAACAUCAGACUCACACCACGAGAAGCAGCGCAUGAUCAAUGCCACCUUCAGCAAGGAGAUCUGCUGAAAGUGAUGUACUGUCUCUCUCACUCUGGGGGUCCGGUACAGACAGGGAUGACAGGGAGGGUAGCCAUUGUUCUGGCUCAGGUUCAAGGAGCCAUGCAAUUCCGCUGAACCUUCGCCCGGAGACGGUUCUUGAAGAUCCUCCUCUGUGGGCUCUCAGGACAGAGGGUUGUAGUCUUCGGCCGGGUACAGGUCCUCCACUGACUGCACCUGGUUGGGCACGGCUGACUUCCUCCACUCGCAUUCCUCAUCCGUACAGCUGAUAUUGUGAACCGCAUGAAUAGCCAAUGCAGCCGCAUGGCUACACUUAUGAACUCCACGGGAGCAUUUGCAUGUGGUAGAGAGAAUCCCCAGGUCACCUAUAGAGACCGGCCAAGAGGAAGGAUGUUAAGUGCCACAUACCUUUCAAUGCAUGACUUUGAACACCUUGAAAUGCAUUUGUUGUAAGAAAUGUGCCGUAUAAAUAAAGUUUAAUUAAUGACAUUACGGCUGUAGAAUAUUUUAUAUAUUAAUUUUCAUGAGUACAAGUGCAGUUUAUCCAUAAAAUCCCAAAUUAUCAAUAAUGCAGUGUGAA